rnacentral:rRNA from 1 species
CCUACGGGUGGCAGCAGUAGGGAAUAUUGCUCAAUGGGGGAAACCCUGAAGCAGCAACGCCGCGUGGAGGAUGACGGUUUUCGGAUUGUAAACUCCUUUUUUUAGAGAAGUUAAUGACGGUAUCUAACGAAUAAGCACCGGCUAACUCCGUGCCAGCAGCGGCGGUAAUACGGCGGGUGCAAGCGUUACUCGGAAUCACUGGGCGUAAAGAGCGCGUAGGCGGGAUAGCAAGUCAGAUGUGAAAUCCUAUGGCUUAACCAUAGAACUGCAUUUGAAACUGUUAGUCUAGAGUAUGGGAGAGGUAGGUGGAAUUCUUGGUGUAGGGGUAAAAUGCGUAGAGAUCAAGAGGAAUACUCAUUGCGAAGGCGACCUGCUAGAACAUAACUGACGCUGAUGCGCGAAAGCGUGGGGAGCAAACAGGAUUAGAUACCCUAGUAGUC